CCGCGUCAUGGUCGGGCCGGGCGACCUCGUGGCGGUCGAGGAGCCGGGCUACCCUCCGGCCCGGCUGCUGUUCCGGUCCCUGGGCGCGCGC
rnacentral:tRNA from 2 species